UACGGGGGGGGCAAGCGUUGUUCGGAAUCAUUGGGCGUAAAGGGCGCGUAGGCGGUGCGGUAAGUCUUCUGUGCCACCUCUGGGCUCCACCCAGAGCCUGCCGGAGAGACUGCCGUGCUGGAGUAUGGGAGAGGUGCGUGGAAUUCCCGGUGGAGCGGUGAAAUGCGUAGAGAUCGGGAGGAACACCUGCGGCGAAGGCGGCGCACUGGACCAUUACUGACGCUGAGAGCGCGAAAGCUAGGGGAGCAAACAGG
rnacentral:rRNA from 1 species